UACUGGUAGCUCGCAAGAUUGAAAAUCAUGAGUGUGUUUUUUAUAUUGUUUCAUUUGUGCCAAAUAACUGCAUGCCCAUUGUGCACAUUUUGAUGAGGAAUUUAAUAUCUCCUCUCGGGCACAUCCCCACUAAAGCUAUAAGAGAAGAGUAUGCUCUUGGGAUAGUGACGCCGUUCCCUUCCCUCAAUGAUUCAUAUACCAAGAAAGACUCUGUAAUAUUCCUUAUUAUUGUUUGCAUGAAAGUUGCAUAUCAAACGUGCAUAUUGUGACACAACAGCGUUUGUAUGACAUUGACAUUUGAGUUCUUUAAAGUAUGACCAAAAUAAUUUUUUGUUUUAUUUCAGGAACACUUCCAUGAUGCUGCAGGCAGCACAGGAUACAUUUCUUGGCGUCUGAAAGCAAUCCAACGAAAGAUUUGUCAAGGAUCUGCACCAUCACCAAAUAGCCCUAUGGACACUUCUCCCAAAUGUCCAACGAGCUGUUAAUGUACAAAGACAGUUGGAUGUGGAUGCUUGCCAAGAGGACAUGUCUUUGCUCAACCAUACCACAGACAAUUCCCUGAUUUUUCAGAAAAUGAGAGAAACCUUUCAGCCCCUGUCAGACGCUUGUUAAUGACCCAAGCAGAGGUGUUGAUAUCCUCUGCACCUUCCCAAGAUUCCUGGAUACCAAAGGAUUGGUGGAUCAAGACUUCCCCCUCCUAUUUGAUGACACAUCCUCCAGGCUCCUUCAGAAAUGGGAUUCUUCAGUCCAAAUGUCAUAAAAGAGGCUAAGUGGCUUACUUCAACACCCAGAGUUGCGUCGCUUGUUGCAGAGAGUCCCACAGGAAGUGAUCUUGAUGAGACAACAAUCAUGCUGCAGUUUGGAGCAGCAUCUCCGCAACCAGCAGGGUCGGCAGCCAUACCUCCUCGCUGUUGGGCGUCAGAAGAGCAAGAUUGACAGCUUCUACAUCACCAUGGAUAAGCAUCUCAUCCCACGCCAGGCAAACCGCUCCCUACCUCGGGGCUUUCGACGAACUUUCCAAAACCCAUUUUGUGUUUAAUUUGUCGUACGAUGCUGCGUUACUGAAUUGUUACACAUUCUUACAGACAACAGUGUAUAACAGUGAUGUGGAGAAAAUGAAGGAGUCAGUCAGAGUCAGAGACUUGAGAGCCAGACUGCUUGACCAGCUAGUACCGGUCUCACUCUCUGAGUAAGAGGCUGAAACAAUACUGACCGGUUUCAUGUGUCAGAAUUUGUAUCCCAGCAGCCAGAAGUUAAUGGUGUUAUACUGGAGCCGUUGAUAAAUGAUAUAAAAUU